rnacentral:rRNA from 1 species
CAGCAGCCACGGGAAUACAGAGGGUGCAAGCGUUAAUCGGAUUUACUGGGCGUAAAGGGCGCGUAGGUGGUUAUUUAAGUGAGAUGUGAAAGCCCCGGGCUUAACCUGGGAACUGCAUCUUAUACUGGGUAACUGGAGUGCAGUAGAGGGUAGUGGAAUUUCCGGUGUAGCGGUGAAAUGCGUAGAUAUCGGAAGGAACACCAGUGGCGAAGGCGGCUACCUGGACUGAGACUGACACUGAGGCGCGAGAGCGUGGGGAGCAAACAGGAUUAGAUACCCCGGUAGUCCCUGUCUCUUAUAC